ACAACGGCUCUUUUAAGAGCCACCUCACUCUCUGUAAAGAACACAUU
rfam:Gasterosteus aculeatus cont1.008692, whole genome shotgun sequence.